rnacentral:rRNA from 1 species
AACGAACGCUGGCGGCAUGCCUAACACAUGCAAGUCGAACGAGACCUUCGGGUCUAGUGGCGCACGGGUGCGUAACGCGUGGGAACCUGCCCUUAGGUUCGGCAUAACUCCCCGAAAGGGGUGCUACUACCGGAUAAUGUCUUCGGACCAAAGAUUUAUCGCCUUUGGAUGGGCCCGCGUUGGAUUAGCUAGUUGGUAGGGUAAAAGCCUACCAAGGCGACGAUCCAUAGCUGGUCUGAGAGGAUGAUCAGCCACACUGGGACUGAGACACGGCCCAGACUCCUACGGGAAGCAGCAGUGGGGAAUAUUGGACAAUGGGCGAAAGCCUGAUCCAGCAAUGCCGCGUGAGUGAUGAAGGCCUUAGGGUUGUAAAGCUCUUUUACCCGGGAUGAUAAUGACAGUACCGGGAGAAUAAGCUCCGGCUAACUCCGUG